UACGAAGGGGGCUAGCGUUGUUCGGAAUUACUGGGCGUAAAGCGCGUGUAGGCGGUUCUUUAAGUCAGGGGUGAAAUGCCAAGGCUCAACCUUGGAACUGCCUUUGAUACUGGAGACCUUGAGUCCGGGAGAGGUGAGUGGAAUUGCGAGUGUAGAGGUGAAAUUCGUAGAUAUUCGCAAGAACACCAGUGGCGAAGGCGGCUCACUGGCCCGGAACUGACGCUGAGAUGCGAAAGCGUGGGGAGCAAACAGG
rnacentral:rRNA from 1 species